rnacentral:rRNA from 1 species
AGUGAACGCUGGCGGCAGGCCUAACACAUGCAAGUCGAGCGGCAGCGCGGGGGCAACCCUGGCGGCGAGCGGCGGACGGGUGAGGAAUUCGUCGGAAUCUGCCUUUUUGUGGGGGAUAACGUAGGGAAACUUACGCUAAUACCGCAUACGUCCUACGGGAGAAAGUGGGGGGCCGCAAGGCCUCACGCAGAAAGAUGAGCCGACGACCGAUUAGCUAGUUGGUGGGGUAAAGGCCCACCAAGGCGACGAUCGGUAGCUGGUCUGAGAGGAUGAUCAGCCACACUGGGACUGAGACACGGCCCAGACUCCUACGGGAGGCAGCAGUGGGGAAUAUUGGACAAUGGGCGCAAGCCUGAUCCAGCCAUGCCGCGUGUGUGAAGAAGGCCUUCGGGUUGUAAAGCACUUUUGUCCGGAAAGAAAUCCCUGGAGCUAAUACCUUCGGGGGAUGACGGUACCGGAAGAAUAAGCACCGGCUAACUUCGUG